rnacentral:rRNA from 1 species
CCUACGGGAUGCAGCAGUAGGGAAUUUUCGGCAAUGGGGGGAACCCUGACCGAGCAACGCCGCGUGAAGGAAGAAGGAAUUCGUUCUGUAAACUUCUGUUAUAAAGGAAGAAAGACGGAUGGAGGAAAUGACAUCCGAGUGACGGUACUUUAUGAGAAAGCCCCGGCUAACUACGUGCCAACAGCCGCGGUAAUACGUAGGUGGCAAGCGUUAUCCGGAAUUAUGGGGCGUAAAGAGGGAGCAGGCGGCAGCAAGGGUCUGUGGUGAAAGGCUGAAGCUUAACUUCAGUAAGCCAUAGAAACCGGGCGGCUGGAGUGCAGGAGAGGAUCGUGGAAUUCCAGGUGUAGCGGUGAAAUGCGUAGAUAUAUGGAGGAACACCAGUGGCGAAGGCGACGAUCUGGCCUGCAACUGACGCUCAGUCCCGAAAGCGUGGGGAGCAAAUAGGAUUAGAUACCCCAGUAGUC